rnacentral:rRNA from 1 species
AAGUUAUAUCGAGGAAGUUUUCGGAUGGAAUCGGUAUAACUUAGUGGCGAACGGGUGAGUAACGCGUGAAUAACCUGACUCAAAGAGGGGGAUAACAACGGGAAACUGUUGCUAAUACCGCAUGAGACCACAACACCGCAUGAUGAAGGGGUCAAAGAUUUAUCGCUUUGAGAGGGGUUCGCGUCCCAUUAGGUAGUUGGUGAGGUAACGGCUCACCAAGUCGACGAUCGGUAGCCGGACUGAGAGGUUGAACGGCCACAUUGGGACUGAGACACGGCCCAGACUCC